GAAAUGCGAUAAGUAGUGUGAAUUGCAGAAUUCAGCGAAUCAUCGAAUCUUUGAACGCACAUUGCGCCCCUUGGUAUUCCAUGGGGCAUGCCUGUUCGAGCGUCAUUUGUACCCUCAAGCUCUGCUUGGUGUUGGGUGUUUGUCCCCGUCUCCGCGCGUGGACUGGCCCCAAAGUGAUUGGCAGCCGGCGUACUGGUCCCGGAGCGCAGCACAUGUCGCGCAAACGAGUGCCUUGGUACGGCGGCGUCCAUAAGCCCCUCUCUCACGCUCUUGACCUCGGAUCAGGUAGGGAUACCCGCUGAACUUAAGC
rnacentral:misc_RNA from 1 species